rnacentral:rRNA from 1 species
GACGAACGCUGGCGGCGUGCUUAACACAUGCAAGUCGAACGGAAAGGCCCUGCUUUUGUGGGGUGCUCGAGUGGCGAACGGGUGAGUAACACGUGAGUAACCUGCCCUUGACUUUGGGAUAACUUCAGGAAACUGGGGCUAAUACCGGAUAGGAGCUCCUGCUGCAUGGUGGGGGUUGGAAAGUUUCGGCGGUAGGGGAUGGACUCGCGGCUUAUCAGCUUGUUGGUGGGGUAGUGGCUUACCAAGGCUUUGACGGGUAGCCGGCCUGAGAGGGUGACCGGCCACAUUGGGACUGAGAUACGGCCCAGACUCCUACGGGAGGCAGAAGUGGGGAAUAUUGCACAAUGGGCGGAAGCCUGAUGCAGCAACGCCGCGUGCGGGAUGAAGGCCUUCGGGUUGUAAACCGCUUUAGCCUGUGACGAAGCGUGAGUGACGGUAAUGGGUAAAGAAGCACCGGCUAACUACGUG